AUUGAACGCUGGCGGCAGGCCUAACACAUGCAAGUCGAGCGGAUGAAGGGAGCUUGCUCCUGGAUUCAGCGGCGGACGGGUGAGUAAUGCCUAGGAAUCUGCCUGGUAGUGGGGGAUAACGUCCGGAAACGGGCGCUAAUACCGCAUACGUCCUGAGGGAGAAAGUGGGGGAUCUUCGGACCUCACGCUAUCAGAUGAGCCUAGGUCGGAUUAGCUAGUUGGUGGGGUAAAGGCCUACCAAGGCGACGAUCCGUAACUGGUCUGAGAGGAUGAUCGGUCACACUGGAACUGAGACACGGUCCAGACUCCUACGGGAGGCAGCAGUGGGGAAUAUUGGACAAUGGGCGAAAGCCUGAUCCAGCCAUGCCGCGUGUGUGAAGAAGGUCUUCGGAUUGUAAAGCACUUUAAGUUGGGAGGAAGGGCAGUAAGUUAAUACCUUGCUGUUUUGACGUUACCAACAGAAUAAGCACCGGCUAACUUCGUGC
rnacentral:rRNA from 1 species